GACGAACGCUGGCGGCGUGCUUAACACAUGCAAGUCGAACGGAAAGGCCCUGCUUUUGUGGGGUGCUCGAGUGGCGAACGGGUGAGUAACACGUGAGUAACCUGCCCUUGACUUUGGGAUAACUUCAGGAAACUGGGGCUAAUACCGGAUAGGAGCUCCUGCUGCAUGGUGGGGGUUGGAAAGUUUCGGCGGUUGGGGAUGGACUCGCGGCUUAUCAGCUUGUUGGUGGGGUAGUGGCUUACCAAGGCGUUGACGGGUAGCCGGCCUGAGAGGGUGACCGGCCACAUUGGGACUGAGAUACGGCCCAGACUCCUACGGGAGGCAGCAGUGGGGAAUAUUGCACAAUGGGCGGAAGCCUGAUGCAGCAACGCCGCGUGCGGGAGGACGGCCUUCGGGUUGUAAACCGCUUUCGCCUGUGACGAAGCGUGAGUGACGGUAAUGGGUAAAGAAGCACCGGCUAACUACGUG
rnacentral:rRNA from 1 species